rnacentral:rRNA from 1 species
AGAGUUUGAUCCUGGCUCAGGACGAACGCUGGCGGCGUGCUUAACACAUGCAAGUCGAACGAGAUCCAAUGUGUAGCAAUACACAUGAAGAUCUAGUGGCGAACGGGUGAGGAACACGUGAGAAACGUACCCCAGACUUUGGGAUAACAGUUCGAAAGGACUGCUAAUACCAAAUAACGUCGGAAGUCCGCAUGGACAUCUGACGAAAGGGAUUCCGGUUUGGGAGCGUCUCGCGGACCUAUCAGCUAGUUGGAGGGGUAACGGCCCACCAAGGCAACGACGGGUAGCUGGUCUGAGAGGAUGGUCAGCCACACUGGGACUGAGACACGGCCCAGACUCCUACGGGAGGCAGCAGUGGGGAAUCUUGCGCAAUGGGCGAAAGCCUGACGCAGCAACGCCGCGUGCGGGAAGAAGGCUUUCGGGCUGUAAACCGCUUUCAGUGGGAACGAAACUGACGGUACCCACAGAAGAAGGAGCGGCCAACUAUGUGCCAGCAGCCGCGGUGAUACAUAGGCUCCAAGCGUUGUCCGGAUUUAUUGGGCGUAAAGAGCUCGUAGGCGGUUGAGUAAGUCGGGUGUGAAAACUUUGGGCUUAACCCUAGAAAAGCAAUGAAACUAGUAGACUAGAGUAUGCAGGGGUAGAGGGAAUUUCUAGUGUAGCGGUGAAAUGCGUAGAUAUUAGAAAAGAACACCGGUGGCGAAAAGCGCUCUACUGGACCAUUACUGACACUCAGAGCGAAAGCUAGGGUAGCAAAAGGGAUUAGAUACCCCUGUAGUCCUAGCCGUAAACGAUGGAUACUAGAUGUUGUGCAUUAUGUACAGUAUCGUAGCUAACGCGUUAAGUAUCCCGCCUGGGGAGCACGCUCGCAAGGGUGAAACUCAAAGGAAUUGACGGGGGCCCGCACAAGCGGUGGAGCAUGUGGUUUAAUUCGAUGCAACGCGAAGAACCUUACCAGGGCUUGACAUACUACGAAUUUUCUUGAAAGAGAAAAGUGCCUUCGGGAAUGUAGAUACAGGUGGUGCAUGGCUGUCGUCAGCUCGUGUCGUGAGAUGUUGGGUUAAGUCCCGCAACGAGCGCAACCCUUAUUUUUAGUUACCAAUUCGUUGGGUUCUCUAGAAAGACUGCCGGUGACAAACCGGAGGAAGGUGAGGAUGACGUCAAGUCAGCAUGCCCCUUAUGUCCUGGGCUACACACGUGCUACAAUGGUUAAGGCAAAGAGUUGCGAACUUGUAAAAGUCAGCUAAUCUCGUAAACUUAGCCUAAGUUCAGAUUGUAGGCUGCAACUCGCCUGCAUGAAGUUGGAAUCGCUAGUAAUCGCUGGUCAGCUAUACAGCGGUGAAUCCGUUCCCGGGCCUUGUACACACCGCCCGUC